AGAGCCCCAACCAGACUGUCUUGCAAAUCUGGACAAGAUGGCCCUUCUUGAGUCAGUCUGGACUCCAGACUGAGGUGCACAGAAGCCAAGAGAGAGCCGGCUCCAGCAUCUACCGUAUCUCUUCCUACACAGUGUAAGCAGAGAAUGCCAGUUGGAAUCCUUUUGUUUCUUCUUCUUGCCAACUUUCUUCCUAGAACGUCCAACUCACUGUUGAAUAGAAAUAUCUCUUGAAGGUGGUAUUCUCGUCUUCCUGUUCAUCUGUGGGCUUUCAUGGGUGUUCUCUAUCGGCAGGAGGUGUGUUCUCUUUUUGGUCCUCAACAACUGUUUUCCUUAUGAAGAGGCACUAGAUUUAUGUACCCCAUACUUUUUCUGUGUCUAUUGGGAUGGCCAUGUGUUUUUUAAACAUUUAUCUC
ensembl:antisense 1700026D11Rik RIKEN cDNA 1700026D11 gene